UACGUAGGGUGCAAGCGUUGUCCGGAAUUAUUGGGCGUAAAGAGCUCGUAGGCGGUCUGUCGCGUCGGCUGUGAAAACUCGGGGCUCAACCCCGAGCUUGCAGUCGAUACGGGCAGGCUAGAGUUCGGCAGGGGAGACUGGAAUUCCUGGUGCAGCGGUGAAAUGCGCAGAUAUCAGGAGGAACACCGGUGGCGAAGGCGGGUCUCUGGGCCGAUACUGACGCUGAGGAGCGAAAGCGUGGGGAGCGAACAGG
rnacentral:rRNA from 1 species